GACGAACGCUGGCGGCGUGCUUAACACAUGCAAGUCGAACGGAAAGGCCCUGCUUUUGUGGGGUGCUCGAGUGGCGAACGGGUGAGUAACACGAGAGUAACCUGCCCUUGACUUUGGGAUAACUUCAGGAAACUGGGGCUAAUACCGGAUAGGAGCUCCUGCUGCAUGGUGGGGGUUGGAAAGUUUCGGCGGUUGGGGAUGGACUCGCGGCUUAUCAGCUUGUUGGUGGGGUAGUGGCUUACCAAGGCUUUGACGGGUAGCCGGCCUGAGAGGGUGACCGGCCACAUUGGGACUGAGAUACGGCCCAGACUCCUACGGGAGGCAGCAGUGGGGAAUAUUGCACAAUGGGCGGAAGCCUGAUGCAGCAACGCCGCGGGCGGGAUGACGGCCUUCGGGUUGUAAACCGCUUUCGCCUGUGACGAAGCGUGAGUGACGGUAAUGGGUAAAGAAGCACCGGCUAACUACGUG
rnacentral:rRNA from 1 species